rnacentral:rRNA from 1 species
UACGGGGGGGGCAAGCGUUGUUCGGAAUUACUGGGCGUAAAGGGUGUGUAGGCGGUUGUUUAAGUUUGGUGUGAAAUCUCCCGGCUCAACUGGGAGGGUGCGCCGAAUACUGAAUGACUUGGAGUGCGGGAGAGGAGAGUGGAAUUCCUGGUGUAGCGGUGAAAUGCGUAGAUAUCAGGAGGAACACCGGUGGUGUAGACGGCUCUCUGGACCGUAACUGACGCUGAGACACGAAAGCGUGGGUAGCAAACAGG